rnacentral:rRNA from 1 species
CAAAAACACAGGUCUCUGCAAAGUCGUCCAAGACGACGUAUAGGGACUGACGCCUGCCCGGUGCCGGAAGGUUAAGAGGAGAGGUGCAAGCCUUGAAUUGAAGCCCCGGUAAACGGCGGCCAUAACUAUAACGGUCCUAAGGUAGCGAAGUCCCUUGUCGGGUAAAUUCCGACCCGCAUGAAUGGCGUAACGAUUUGGGCGCUGUCUUAAUGAUAGACUCAGUGAAAUUGUAGUAUCGGUGAAAAUGCCGGUUACCCGCGAUAGGACGGAAAGACCCUGUGCACCUUUACUGCAACUUGACAUUGAUUUUUGGUUUAGUCUGUGUAGCAUAGGCGGGAGACUUUGAUGCUAUGGCGCUAGCUGUAGCGGAGUCAUCAUUGAAAUACCGCCCUGAAUGAUUCGAAAAUCUAACUUCUAUCCGUGAUCCGGAAGAAGGACAUUGUCUGGUGGGCAGUUUGACUGGGGUGGUCGCCUCCCAAAAUGUAACGGAGGCGUUCAAAGGUUCCCUCAUGGCGAAUAGAAAUCGUCAUAUAGAGUGUAAAAGCAGAAGGGAGCUUGACUGCGAGACAUACAGGUCGAGCAGGUGCGAAAGCAGGAUUUAGUGAUCUGGUGGUACCAUAUGGAAGGGCCAUCACUAAACGGAUAAAAGGUACGCCGGNNGAGCUGGGUUCAGAACGUCGCAAGACAGUUCGGUCCUUAUCCAUCGUGGGCGUAGGGUAUUUGCGAGGAUUUGUCUCUAGUACGAGAGGACCGAGAUGAACAAACCUCUGGUGUUCCAAUUGUUUACCAAAAGCAACGUUGGGUAGCCAAGUUUGGAUGGGAUAACCGCUGAAAGCAUCUAAGUGGGAAACCCACCUCAAGAUUAGAUACCCCGUUAAUUAGAUUUAUUUGAGCUUCGGUUUGAGUAAUGAAAAUUAACAUGUAAGAUCCCUUGAAGACUACAAGGUUGAUAGGCUGGGUGUGUAAGUACAGUAAUGUAUUGAGCUAACCAGUACUAAUAGAUCGAGGGUUUU